CCUACGGGUGGCAGCAGUGAGGAAUAUUGGUCAAUGGACGAGAGCCUGAACCAGCCAAGUAGCGUGAAGGAUGACUGCCCUAUGGGUUGUAAACCUCUUUUAUAUGGGAAUAAAACGUUCCACGUGUGGGAUUUUGUAUGUAUCCUAUGAAUAAGGAUCGGCUAACUCCGUGCCAGCAGCCGCGGUAAUACGGAGGAUCCGAGCGUUAUCCGGAUUUAUUGGGUUUAAAGGGUGCGUAGGUGGAUUGUUAAGUCAGUUGUGAAAGUUUGCGGCUCAACCGUAAAAUUGCAGUUGAAACUGGCAGUCUUGAGUACAGUAGAGGUAGGCGGAAUUCGUGGUGUAGCGGUGAAAUGCUUAGAUAUCGCGAAGAACUCCGAUUGCGAAGGCAGUUCACUGGACUGAGACUGACACUGAGGCUCGAAAGUGUGGGUAUCAAACAGGAUUAGAUACCCCAGUAGUC
rnacentral:rRNA from 1 species